rnacentral:tRNA from 1 species
AAGACGCUAGUAAAAUACUAUUACCCUGCCUUGUCAAGGCAGAAUUGUGGGUUGGAACCCCGCGUGUCUUG